rfam:Lupinus angustifolius cultivar Tanjil chromosome LG15, whole genome shotgun sequence.
UUGACAGAAGAGAGUGAGCACAUGCUUUGGUGAUUGUAUGAAGACAUACAUUUGCGGGUGCGUGCUCACUUUUCUUUCUGUCAU